rnacentral:rRNA from 1 species
UAGUAACGGCGAGUGAAGCGGCAACAGCUCAAAUUUGAAAUCUGGCGUAAGCCCGAGUUGUAAUUUGUAGAGGAUGCUUCUGGGUAGCGGCCGGUCUAAGUUCCUUGGAACAGGACGUCAUAGAGGGUGAGAAUCCCGUAUGUGACUGGCUUGCACCCUCCACGUAGCUCCUUCGACGAGUCGAGUUGUUUGGGAAUGCAGCUCUAAAUGGGAGGUAAAUUUCUUCUAAAGCUAAAUACCGGCCAGAGACCGAUAGCGCACAAGUAGAGUGAUCGAAAGAUGAAAAGCACUUUGGAAAGAGAGUUAAAAAGCACGUGAAAUUGUUGAAAGGGAAGCGCCCGCAACCAGACUUUGCGGCGGUGUUCGGCUGGUCUUCUGACCGGUUUACUCGCCGCCGUGAGGCCAUCAUCGUCUGGGACCGCUGGAUAAGACCUGAGGAAUGUAGCUCCCUUCGGGGUGUGUUAUAGCCUCUGGUGAUGCAGCGCGUCUCGGGCGAGGUCCGCGCUUCGGCAAGGAUGAUGGCGUAAUGGUUGUCGGCGGCCCGUCUUGAAACACGGACCAAGGAGUCUAACAUCUAUGCGAGUGUUCGGGUGUCAAACCCCUACGCGUAAUGAAAGUGAACGGAGGUGGGAACUUUUUGUGCA